CAAGCGUGCAAGCAAACCAUU
rnacentral:miRNA from 1 species